AUCGCUUCUCGGCCUUUUGGCUAAGAUCAAGUGUAGUGAUUUAGCUACAUCAAUAUUUACAGUAGCACAAUUC
rnacentral:sRNA from 1 species